CGUAGGGUGCAAGCGUUAUCCGGAAUUAUUGGGCGUAAAGAGCUCGUAGGCGGUUUGUCGCGUCUGCUGUGAAAACUGGAGGCUCAACCUCCAGCCUGCAGUGGGUACGGGCAAACUAGAGUGCGGUAGGGGAGAUUGGAAUUCCUGGUGUAGCGGUGGAAUGCGCAGAUAUCAGGAGGAACACCAAUGGCGAAGGCAGAUCUCUGGGCCGUAACUGACGCUGAGGAGCGAAAGCAUGGGGAGCGAACAGGA
rnacentral:rRNA from 1 species